CAUUAAAGAGUAAGGGUGCUCAGCGCCCGACCUCCAACCCUUUGUUGUUAAAACUACCUUGUUGCUUUGGCGGGACCGCUCGGUCUCGAGCCGCUGGGGAUUCGUCCCAGGCGAGCGCCCGCCAGAGUUAAACCAAACUCUUGUUAUUUAACCGGUCGUCUGAGUUAAAAUUUUGAAUAAAUCAAAACUUUCAACAACGGAUCUCUUGGUUCUCGCAUCGAUGAAGAACGCAGCGAAAUGCGAUAAGUAAUGUGAAUUGCAGAAUUCAGUGAAUCAUCGAAUCUUUGAACGCACAUUGCGCCCCUUGGUAUUCCGAGGGGCAUGCCUGUUCGAGCGUCAUUACACCACUCAAGCUAUGCUUGGUAUUGGGCGUCGUCCUUAGUUGGGCGCGCCUUAAAGACCUCGGCGAGGCCACUCCGGCUUUAGGCGUAGUAGAAUUUAUUCGAACGUCUGUCAAAGGAGAGGAACUCUGCCGACUGAAACCUUUAUUUUUCUAGGUUGACCUCGGAUCAGGUAGGGAUACCCGCUGAACUUAAGCAUAUCAAUAAGCGGAGGAAAAGAAACCAACAGGGAUUGCCCUAGUAACGGCGAGUGAAGCGGCAACAGCUCAAAUUUGAAAGCUAGCCUUCGGGUUCGCAUUGUAAUUUGUAGAGGAUGAUUUGGGGAAGCCGCC
rnacentral:rRNA from 1 species